rnacentral:rRNA from 1 species
CCAAGGAGUUCAGCGUGUACGCGAGUCAUUGGGUUGUAAAACCCAAAGGCGUAAUGAAAGUGAAGGGAGCUUCGCGUUUCUGAGGGAGGAUGAGUUGGUUACCCGCAAGGGGCUGCUCCGCACUCCCGGGGCGUCUCUUUCUCAUUGCGAGUGGAGGCGCACCCAGAGCGUACACGCUGAUACCCGAAAGAUGGUGAACUAUGCCUGGCCAGGACGAAGCCAGGGGAAACCCUGGUGGAGGUCCGCAGCGAUUCUGACGUGCAAAUCGAUCGUCGGAGCUGGGUAUAGGGGCGAAAGACCAAUCGAACCAUCUAGUAGCUGGUUCCCUCCGAAGUUUCCCUCAGGAUAGCUUGCGCUCAUGUGAACGAGUCUCAUCCGGUAGAGCGAAUGAUUAGAGGCCUUGGGGUCGAAACGACCUCAACCUAUUCUCAAACUCCAAAUAGAUGAGAACUCCGGCUUUCUUGAACUUUGUUUUUGAAGCCGGGGGCUCGGAUCAGAGUGCCAAGUGGGCCAAUUUU